CUUGACCUCGAAUCAGGUAGGGAUACCCGCUGAACUUAAGCAUAUCAAUAAGCGGAGGA
rnacentral:rRNA from 1 species